CAACCCUUAAGCCCUAGCUGCUUAGCGUUGGGAGCUUUCCGCCUCUAGUAGAAACUCCUCAAAGUUAUUGGCAGAGUUACGACAUACUCUAAGCGUAGUAAUCAUUAUCUCGCUUCUGAUGGUGUCGUAAUAAUCGCCAUAAACCUCUAUUUUCUAGU
rnacentral:misc_RNA from 1 species